UUGAUUAUCAUGGGGAUGGUACAGAACAGGGUGGCAAACAUCGACACAAGGAACUGAACUUGCAAGAAGAGGUCGAACGUGACGGUAACUUCAGCCUUCUUCUGUGCGUAUUCGAAUGCUGGCAUUAUAAAUCCAUGAAGAGCAGCAGCACCAAGGGUCAUGAAAAAUCCCAGCGUGUAAUUGGCAUGUGAUUCGCCACUGGGACGAUCCCCGUUCAUGUGCAGUCCCAAAAUAGCCGAUCCAAAGGUCAUUAGAACCACAGCAUUGAUUGAAUAGUGAGUGAAUUUGUGCUUAACUACAAAGUAGGCGAAAAUUGCCGUGAAGGCAAGUUGGCUCGAGCCCAGAAGGGAAGAAACCGAAACGGGGAGGUAAGAC
rnacentral:lncRNA from 1 species